GAUGAACGCUAGCUACAGGCUUAACACGUGCAAGUCGAGGGGAAGCGACAUCGAAAGCUUGCUUUUGAUGGGCGUCGACCGGCGCACGGGUGAGUAACGCGUAUCCAACCUGCCCAUCACUUGGGAAUAACCUUGCGAAAGUAAGACUAAUACCCAAUGACAUCCCACGAAGACAUCUGAAUGGGAUUAAAGAUUUAUCGGUGAUGGAUGGGGAUGCGUCUGAUUAGCUUGUUGGCGGGGUAACGGCCCACCAAGGCAACGAUCAGUAGGGGUUCUGAGAGGAAGGUCCCCCACAUUGGAACUGAGACACGGUCCAAACUCCUACGGGAGGCAGCAGUGAGGAAUAUUGGUCAAUGGGCGAGAGCCUGAACCAGCCAAGUAGCGUGCAGGAUGACGGCCCUAUGGGUUGUAAACUGCUUUUAUAAGGGAAUAAAGUGGGUCUCGUGAGACUUUUUGCAUGUACCUUAUGAAUAAGGACCGGCUAAUUCCGUG
rnacentral:rRNA from 1 species